UACGAAGGGGGCUAGCGUUGCUCGGAAUUACUGGGCGUAAAGCGCACGUAGGCGGGUUCUUAAGUCGGUGGUGAAAUCCUGGAGCUCAACUCCAGAGCUGCCUUCGAAACUGGGAAUCUUGAGUCCGGGAGAGGUGAGUGGAACUGCGAGUGUAGAGGUGAAAUUCGUAGAUAUUCGCAAGAACACCAGUGGCGAAGGCGGCUCACUGGCCCGGUACUGACGCUGAGGUGCGAAAGCGUGGGGAGCAAACAGG
rnacentral:rRNA from 1 species